UACGUAGGGUGCAAGCGUUGUCCGGAAUUAUUGGGCGUAAAGAGCUCGUAGGCGGUCUGUUGCGUCGGCUGUGAAAACCCGGGGCUCAACUCCGGGCCUGCAGCCGAUACGGGCAGACUAGAGUUCGGCAGGGGAGACUGGAAUUCCUGGUGUAGCGGUGAAAUGCGCAGAUAUCAAGAGGAACACCAGUGGCGAAGGCGAGUCCCUGGACGAUACCUGACACUGAGGCACGAAAGCUAGGGGAGCAAACAGG
rnacentral:rRNA from 1 species